rnacentral:rRNA from 1 species
GGCGNGCUAUACAUGCAGUCGAACGAACUCUGGUAUUGAUUGGUGCUUGCAUCAUGAUUUACAUUUGAGUGAGUGGCGAACUGGUGAGUAACACGUGGGAAACCUGCCCAGAAGCGGGGGAUAACACCUGGAAACAGAUGCUAAUACCGCAUAACAACUUGGACCGCAUGGUCCGAGUUUGAAAGAUGGCUUCGGCUAUCACUUUUGGAUGGUCCCGCGGCGUAUUAGCUAGAUGGUGGGGUAACGGCUCACCAUGGCAAUGAUACGUAGCCGACCUGAGAGGGUAAUCGGCCACAUUGGGACUGAGACACGGCCCAAACUCCUACGGGAGGCAGCAGUAGGGAAUCUUCCACAAUGGACGAAAGUCUGAUGGAGCAACGCCGCGUGAGUGAAGAAGGGUUUCGGCUCGUAAAACUCUGUUGUUAAAGAAGAACAUAUCUGAGAGUAACUGUUCAGGUAUUGACGGUAUUUAACCAGAAAGCCACGGCUAACUACGUGCCAGCAGCCGCGGUAAUACGUAGGUGGCAAGCGUUGUCCGGAUUUAUUGGGCGUAAAGCGAGCGCAGGCGGUUUUUUAAGUCUGAUGUGAAAGCCUUCGGCUCAACCGAAGAAGUGCAUCGGAACUGGGAAACUUGAGUGCAGAAGAGGACAGUGGAACUCCAUGUGUAGCGGUGAAAUGCGUAGAUAUAUGGAAGAACACCAGUGGCGAAGGCGGCUGUCUGGUCUGUAACUGACGCUGAGGCUCGAAAGUAUGGGUAGCAAACAGGAUUAGAUACCCUGGUAGUCCAUACCGUAAACGAUGAAUGCUAAGUGUUGGAGGGUUUCCGCCCUUCAGUGCUGCAGCUAACGCAUUAAGCAUUCCGCCUGGGGAGUACGGCCGCAAGGCUGA